ACGAACGCUGGCGGCGUGCUUAACACAUGCAAGUCGAACGGAAAGGCCCUGCUUUUGUGGGGUGCUCGAGUGGCGAACGGGUGAGUAACACGUGAGUAACCUGCCCUUGACUUUGGGAUAACUUCAGGAAACUGGGGCUAAUACCGGAUAGGAGCUCCUGCUGCAUGGUGGGGGUUGGAAAGUUUCGGCGGUUGGGGAUGGACUCGCGGCUUAUCAGCUUGUUGGUGGGGUAGUGGCUUACCAAGGCUUUGACGGGUAGCCGGCCUGAGAGGGUGACCGGCCACAUUGGGACUGAGAUACGGCCCAGACUGCUACGGGAGGCUGCAGUGGGGAAUAUUGCACAAUGGGCGGAAGCCUGAUGCAGCAACGCCGCGUGCGGGAUGACGGCCUUCGGGUUGUAAACCGCUUUCGCCUGUGACGAAGCGUGAGUGACGGUAAUGGGUAAAGAAGCACCGGCUAACUACGUG
rnacentral:rRNA from 1 species